rnacentral:rRNA from 1 species
AGGACGAACGCUGGCGGCGUGCUUAACACAUGCAAGUCGAACGGUAAGGCCCUUCGGGGUACACGAGUGGCGAACGGGUGAGUAACACGUGGGUGAUCUGCCCUGCACUUUGGGAUAAGCCUGGGAAACUGGGUCUAAUACCGAAUAUGACCAUGGACUUCACGGUUUGUGGUGGAAAGCUUUUGCGGUGUGGGAUGGGCCCGCGGCCUAUCAGCUUGUUGGUGGGGUAAUGGCCUACCAAGGCGACGACGGGUAGCCGGCCUGAGAGGGUGACCGGCCACACUGGGACUGAGAUACGGCCCAGACUCCUACGGGAGGCAGCAGUGGGGAAUAUUGCACAAUGGGCGCAAGCCUGAUGCAGCGACGCCGCGUGGGGGAUGACGGCCUUCGGGUUGUAAACCUCUUUCACCAGGGACGAAGCGAGAGUGACGGUACCUGGAGAAGAAGGACCGGCCAACUACGUG